UCCGUUCUCGUUCCUGUCGACGCUAGGGUUUUUCCUCCCACUCAAUGGAGAAAUCCAUCAGAUAAUCCAUUCGAAAAUCCAUUUCCUCUCGAUUCAUCCUUGUUUAUCCCAUAUUCACAAGAAAUCAAGAAUCACACCUGUUAUCUUCACGUAUCUACAAACCGGCCUCUUCCUUCCGACUGUUGUGAGACCUAUAUUGGAUUCCUUUUAAGCAUCCAAGCAAGUUCAUCAACCUGCCCUAGGUGAUAAAAAUGACAUCAGAAGAAGGGGAAAACUUUUCCAUGCCAAGUGCGGGUUCAACUCCAAUUACAGGCAGUACUUCAACUACUGAUGGAACCUUGAUAUCUAAAAGAAGAAAGUUGACUUCGGUUGUUUGGAAUGAUUUUGAUAAAAUCAUAGAAGAUGGACAAGAUUAUGCUAUUUGUAAGCACUGUAA